rnacentral:rRNA from 1 species
AUUGAACGCUGGCGGCAUGCCUUACACAUGCAAGUCGAACGCGAAAGGGGGGCAACCCCCGAGUAGAGUGGCGAACGGGUGAGUAAUACAUCGGAACGUGUCCAGUAGCGGGGGAUAACCUCUCGAAAGAGAGGCUAAUACCGCAUACGACCUACGGGUGAAAGAGGGGGAUCGCAAGACCUCUCACUAUUGGAGCGGCCGAUGUCGGAUUAGCUAGUUGGCGGGGUAACGGCCCACCAAGGCGACGAUCCGUAGCUGGUCUGAGAGGACGACCAGCCACACUGGAACUGAGACACGGUCCAGACUCCUACGGGAGGCAGCAGUGGGGAAUUUUGGACAAUGGGCGCAAGCCUGAUCCAGCCAUGCCGCGUGAGUGAAGAAGGCCU